UCUGUAUAAUUAUCAGGUCAAAGAGGUGCUCUGCAUUGCAGCCUCUCUGAGCCAAUCUCACCUCUGACCCCUGAGGUGGCAGCAGUCACCAGCCCUCAGCUCGCUACUCAACCAUCACGUUUCUGACAGCCUUUCAUAUCAGCGAUGGAUGGAGUGUUUGCAGACAAGCAGCCUGACCAGACGCAGCAAAGAGGCCCCCGGGGAUGCACUACUCAAUGCCACCGCGGCCGGAUGGGCCCCAUGAGUGUGAGAACGGAAGGCAGCGAAAUUUCACAAGAAGUCGCUGGUUUGAGGAGCCCCUCGCUCCAUCUCGCUGACAAAUAGAGACUGGUGGAAGGCAAGUAGGAGUGCAGCAGUGCGUGUGAGCGAUGAAGGUGUCUGCUCUCUUCACUCACUGCGACGUAGUAGCUCACCUUGGACCACCAGACGUCCUUGAGCAGUCCUGCGCACACGCGUCCCUGGUUUGUUAGCGGCACAUACGUAGACCCCGGAGUGCUCCACACCAACAUCUGAGAUCAUCAG